rnacentral:rRNA from 1 species
AGUGAACGCUGGCGGUAGGCCUAACACAUGCAAGUCGAACGGCAGCACAGUAAGAGCUUGCUCUUACGGGUGGCGAGUGGCGGACGGGUGAGGAAUACAUCGGAAUCUACUUUUUCGUGGGGGAUAACGUAGGGAAACUUACGCUAAUACCACAUACGACCUACGGGUGAAAGCAGGGGAUCUUCGGACCUUGCGCGAUUGAAUGAGCCGAUGUCGGAUUAGCUAGUUGGCGGGGUAAAGGCCCACCAAGGCGACGAUCCGUAGCUGGUCUGAGAGGAUGAUCAGCCACACUGGAACUGAGACACGGUCCAGACUCCUACGGGGGGCAGCAGUGGGGAAUAUUGGACAAUGGGCGCAAGCCUGAUCCAGCCAUACCGCGUGGGUGAAGAAGGCCUUCGGGUUGUAAAGCCCUUUUGUUGGGAAAGAAAAGCAGCAGGUUAAUACCCCGCUGUUCUGACGGUACCCAAAGAAUAAGCACCGGCUAACUUCGUG